rnacentral:rRNA from 1 species
UACGAAGGGGGCUAGCGUUGCUCGGAAUUACUGGGCGUAAAGGGCGCGUAGGCGGACAGCUUAGUCAGAGGUGAAAGCCCAGGGCUCAACCUUGGAAUUGCCUUUGAUACUGGCUAUCUUGAGUUCGGGAGAGGUGAGUGGAAUGCCGAGUGUAGAGGUGAAAUUCGUAGAUAUUCGGCGGAACACCAGUGGCGAAGGCGACUCACUGGCCCGAUACUGACGCUGAGGCGCGAAAGCGUGGGGAGCAA